rnacentral:misc_RNA from 1 species
GAAAUGCGAUAAGUAGUGUAAAUUACAGAAUUCAGUAAAUCAUCAAAUCUUUAAACGCACAUUGCGCCCUUUAGUAUUCCUUAGAGCAUGCCUGUUCAAGCGUCAUCUAAACCUUCAAGCACUGCUUAGUGUUAGGUGCCUAUCCCGCCCCCGCGCGUAGACUCACCUCAAAUCCAUUAGCGGCCCUCACGUCGGCUUCAAGCGCAGCAGAAACGCGAACUCGUAGCCCAGCAGAGCGGCUCCCAGAAGCUACUCUCACCAUUUUAACCUCGGAUCAGGUAGGGAUACCCGCUGAACUUAA